rnacentral:rRNA from 1 species
UACGUAGGUGGCGAGCGUUGUCCGGAAUUACUGGGUGUAAAGGGCGAGUAGGCGGGGCUGCAAGUCAGGUGUGAAAUUUAUGGGCUUAACCCGUAAACUGCAUUUGAAACUGCGGUUCUUGAGUGAUGGAGAGGCAGGCGGAAUUCCUAGUGUAGCGGUGAAAUGCGUAGAUAUUAGGAGGAACACCAGUGGCGAAGGCGGCCUGCUGGACAUUAACUGACGCUGAUGCGCGAAAGCGUGGGGAGCAAACAGGGUUAGAUACCCUGGUAGUCCACGCUGUAAACGAUGGAUACUAGGUGUGGGGGGUACUGACCCCCUCCGUGCCGGAGUUAACACAAUAAGUAUCCCACCUGGGGAGUACGGCCGCAAGGUUGAA